ensembl:lncRNA
GCUGGUGCUGGUGGAUGGGGGCCGGGGCGGGGCCGUGGUGAUGGAGAUUACUAUGAACGAUGAGCCGGCUCGUUAGCUGUGAUCUGGGCUUUGGUUAAGAAGACGAAGAGAGAAGAAGAAGAGAGAAGCCCAGCACUGCGUAGUGAUUCCUCUUUUUGUCUCUUCUCCUUCACUAUUUGCCGUCUGCCCCUCAUGUCUUCCGCUAGUUUGCAGUGCAGUAAGGAUGUUCGUAGAACCAAGUGCCAAGCAAUAACAAAUGGGACAGCAUUGGGCUCCAAGACAAAUUUCCCUCAAGGAGGUCCCGCCCAGUCCCGUGAAGUCCUCGCCCGAGACCACCCCGACGACCUCCCCCCGCCAGCGCCGGAGACUCGGACCGCUUCUGCCAACUCUGCAACGCCUGGUUCAACAACCCGGGCAUGGCGCAGCAGCACUACGACGGCAAGAAGCACAAGAAGAACGCCGCC